rnacentral:rRNA from 1 species
CGACACGGGGAGGUAGUGACGAAAAAUAACAAUACAGGACUCUUUCGAGGCUCUGUAAUUGGAAUGAGUACACUUUAAAUCCUUUAACGAGGAUCUACUGGAGGGCAAGUCUGGUGCCAGCAGCUGCGGUAAUUCCAGCUCCAGUGGCGUAUAUUAAUGCUGCUGCAGUUAAAAAGCUCGUAGUUGGAUCUAGGGCGUAUGCUAACGGUCCCUCGCAAGGGGUGCACUGUUUGUUCAUAGCCUCCCUCGCGGCUUGCGCCCGGUUCUCUUAACUGAGUGCCGGGUGCGGCCGGAACGUUUACUUUGAAAAAAUUGGAGUGUUCAAAGCAGGCGCAACAGCCUGAACAGCAGAGCAUGGAAUAAUGGAAUAGGACCUCGGUUCUAUUGCGUUGGUUUUAAGAGUCCGAGGUAAUGAUUGAGAGGGACUGACGGGGGCAUUCGUAUUGCGGUGUGAGAGGUGAAAUUCUUGGAUCGCCGCAAGACGACCGACAGCGAAAGCAUUUGCCAAGAAUGUCUUCAUUAAUCAAGAACGAAAGUUAGAGGUUCGAAGGCGAUCAGAUACCGCCCUAGUUCUAACCAUAAACUAUGCCGACCGGCGAUUCGCCGGCGUUACUCCAAUGACUCGGCCAGCAGCCCCCGGGAAACCAGAGUUUUUGGGUUCCGGGGGAAGUAUGGUUGCAAAGCUGAAACUUAAAGGAAUUGACGGAAGGGCACCACCAGGAGUGGAGCCCG